GCCGCAACAACGAACCUUAUAAUUAUGAAACUACUAUGACGAGAUCUGAUGAUGCCGACCUGGGAAAAAUGAUGUAUAAAUCAGAUAUAUGGUACGACUAUUCUGGAUCGGAAUUAUUCGAAAUUGAGCUUAACGGAAACCGAAUAGAGGCAGACUCUGAGCAGAAUGAGUACUGGGAGAUACUUCUACUAACCGGAGAUGGAAAGAUGGAGCCAUUGGAACUCGGGCUAGAUUACGUGCCGGUUAACGGUGAUAAAGUGCUCAUUAGAUUGGAAAAUGGGGAAGGUGAUGAGUGAUGACGUUAUUGGUGGUGAGGUUUAGAUUGGUGGUGGCGUUUAUGAAAAUGGCGCUGUGGUCGCUGAUCCAGGGGUUUGGUUCCUUAAAUUUUCUGUGAUGGGUUCCUUAACACGCUGGAUAAACUAAAAAUGAUGCUCGCGAAAUCUCUGGUGUGUCUGGACGAGAUAGUGUUUAAAAAACAGAAAAACAUUUAUAAUUUAAAUUAGGAGGAACCUAUUUUGAAACAAAAACGAUAUGGACGAUGGACAUUUAUUUCUCUGCAUGCAAAAAAAAACUUUUAAAAAGAUUUUCUGUGAUGGGUUUUUUCUGUGAUGACAUUUAUUUCUCUGCGUGCAAAAAAAACGAUAUUUUUUCUAUUGAAGUUGAAAAUACAAAAUUUAAAGUGCACAAA